rnacentral:lncRNA from 1 species
GGGGUAUGUCGGACGUAUCCGUCCUGACCGACUGAACCCAGAGGUCUGAUGGCCGACUCAUAUGAAGCUCGCCGACCAAUGGAGGGGCCCGACACCACUCAGCUGGCUACAGACUUUGGGUCGGUCGGCUCCUCCAACCACCGUACAGCCGUCAGACGUUGUCAGCUCUGACACGGACAUGCGGCGCAGUUACCUAGGGGCAUUGUCCCGCCGAGAGCGGGGUCAACCCUGGUGAUUGGAUGGCCACACGGCGACAUGACGUUUU